rnacentral:lncRNA from 1 species
CGCAAUCUUUCUCUACCUGCUUGUCGAUUACGCAUUGAGCAGUCUUCUGUUUGUCAGUGCAUCUUUGAGGCUUCUUCUUGUUGUUUUUAUAUACAUCAUUAAUAAGCUUAAUUUUCUCAAUGGCGAAUGUGGUUAAAAACAGACCGGAGUCCAUAGAGCGCAGCAUUUUAGAUAUUCUGGACUCUCCCACAAGUGAGACGAAGCCCGUCCUCCCCGCAGCCUCCAGCCAGAGGGACACUGAACUUUUUGAAAUAAUUGAAAAACUUCAGGGCAGCCGACUAGACGAGCAACGCUGUGCGUUCCCCCCUCCUUUGAAGGUUGUACUGAUUUUGUUGAACUUCAGUUUUAGGAAAUCUUCAGUAAGAGAAUGAAUCAAAGGCAGCUGGUAAACUACAGUUGCUAUUGUUUUUACAGAUGCUGUAAAACAAGCUUUGUGGCACAUGCAUGAUGAGAACAAUAUGGCUCUUCGCUUUUUUCAAAUGACAGGUUUUAAAGAUAAGAGGCACUUUCCCUUUGAUUCUUCCACCUAAAUGUGGAGGCUACUGGAUAGACCCACCCAUGGAGAAGUUUGAUAAAACCAGCCCCACCGUGUCUGAAUCAAGAAGUGGCACAGAGAGCUAUGAAAUUAUGGAGAGGGACCUUGAAGCAAAGAUCUACAGGGAAUUCUUCAGAUCCAAAGUCAGUCUAACCCAUUUGUUUGUAGGCUUUG